rnacentral:lncRNA from 1 species
GGGGAGGCACGGUUAGCGGGAGAGGAGGGGAGGAGCCGGCGGGCGGCGCGGCGCGAGGGGCAGCCGGGUGGGCGUGGGGACUCGGCGGAGACCGGCUGCAGGCAGGGUCCCGGGCUGGAGUCGGAGAGGAGCGCGGUGGGCGCAGACGUGACGAGGGUGCGAAUAGCCGGGCGGCAGGGCGGCCCCGGAAAGCGGGGAGAGACCCUCGCCCCGCCAGGUGGAGCCGGAGCGAGCGCGGCGCGGGCGGAAGGGAGGAUGGCGAGCCGGGACCCGGGCGCCGGGGAGCGGUGCUCGCUGAGGCGGCUCCGCCGGAUCCGAGGGGAGAGCAGCCAGGCGGAGAGACGGGGCCGGGCGGCCAGCCGCGGGCCCGGGAUGUGAGGCAGGGGAUGCGGGGUGCGGGGCUGGGCGCGGGGCCGGGCCAGCCUGCGCCGGGGACGGAGCUGCAGGAGGCCGCAGGGCCAGCGCGCCGCCGCCGCAGCCGAGGACCCAGGGUAGGGGUGGACGAGCAGGAGCCAUGGUAAUAAAGAAGAGGAAACCUGACCAAUUAUUGUGGAGUAAUUUGGAAGAAGAUGGAAAAAACCUGUUUGAUGGGUAAGAAAUAAAAGAAAAUCUUCUUUGUAAAAACUACUCAUUAAGAGUAUUACGUAUG